rnacentral:rRNA from 1 species
GAUGAACGCUAGCGGGAGGCUUAACACAUGCAAGUCGAGGGGCAGCACGAGGUAGCAAUACUUUGGUGGCGACCGGCGCACGGGUGAGUAACGCGUAUGCAACCUACCCUGUACAGGGGGAUAACCCGGAGAAAUUCGGACUAAUACCCCAUAAAGAUAUUUAGAGGCAUCUUUGAAUAUUUAAAGUUCCGGCGGUACGGGAUGGGCAUGCGUAACAUUAGCUAGUUGGUAAGGUAACGGCUUACCAAGGCAACGAUGUUUAGGGGUCCUGAGAGGGUGAUCCCCCACACUGGUACUGAGACACGGACCAGACUCCUACGGGAGGCAGCAGUGAGGAAUAUUGGUCAAUGGGCGCAAGCCUGAACCAGCCAUCCCGCGUGAAGGAAGAAUGCGCUAUGCGUUGUAAACUUCUUUUCCAGGGGAAUAAAAUUUUGUACGUGUACGGAAUUGAAGGUACCCUGGGAAUAAGCAUCGGCUAACUCCGUGCCAGCCGCCGCGGUAAUAC